rnacentral:tRNA from 1 species
AGAGGUAUAGUUUAUUAUUUAGAACGCUGUUUUUGUAAAACAGUGGUGAGGUUUAUUGUCUCUGCUUCUA